GUAGGGAAUAUUGCGCAAUGGGGGAAACCCUGACGCAGCGACGCCGCGUGAGUGAUGAAGGCCUUCGGGUCGUAAAGCUCUGUUGCAGGGGAAUAAAAAAAUGAAGGUACCCUGUGAGGAAGGAUCGGCUAACUUCGUGCCAGCAGCCGCGGUAAGACGAGGGAUCCUAGCGUUGCUCGGAAUCAUUGGGCGUAAAGAGGGCGUAGGUGGCUUGGUAAGUCAGGUGUGAAAGCCCAGGGCUCAACCCUGGAAGUGCAUUUGAUACUGCUGAGCUUGAGUGUCGGAGAGGUUACCGGAAUACCUGGUGUAGUGGUGAAAUACGUAGAUAUCAGGUGGAACACCGGAGGCGAAGGCGGGUAACUGGACGAACACUGACACUGAGGCCCGAAAGCGUGGGGAUCAAACAGGAUUAGAUACCCUGGUAGUCC
rnacentral:rRNA from 1 species